UGUACUAUUUAGCUUCUAGACAUAGAGAUACAGAAAACAAACCCUCUUUUACAAGCCAGAACUCAUUGUUCAGUAUGUUUUGAUAUAUAUAAAAAGGAAUGUG
ensembl:snoRNA